rnacentral:lncRNA from 1 species
UCCGCAACAGGCUUGAACAUACGCAAGAAAGCACAGCCCUACGGCAAAGGACCAAAACAAAAAAAAAAAUGUCGAAGCCGGUAGGUCACUACAUCGGCCACAGUUGGCUUCUUCAGCCCAGCUUUCACCAUCAACCGUCGAAACAGGUCUUGGAACACGUAUCAAAUAAGGCCUGUCAUUCAGAGACAGCUGCUGCCCGUUACGUAGCUCGUGAAUCACUGACUCCACGGAUGGCCUAUCAUAGAGAUACUCGUUGGUGCAAGAGGCAAUUCUCGCGAGUUUAGCCACCUCGUACUCGAAGAACCUUUUUUUCGUGGAUAUUUGCAUCGAUGAAAUCCUGAAAUCUGCAUGAUUCAGUAGCCAGAUGCUUGGAGUGAUCUACGUUCUGCGUCCCCCACAGCAUUUGGAAAACAAUCACUCCAACCUCAUAGACUUCACUCUUAUCCAUGAACCGGCCCCGCAGACGUUUACUCUGGCUUUAGGUUGCCCACGGCAGCGCUAGCUUUGAGCAGUGAGAACACAACGACUGCGCGUGAGUAGCCUGUGGAGACCAGAGUCAUAGAGCAACGGGUUGUCAUCACUGGUCUAUGACCAUGCACAUAGGCAAUAUCAUUUUGGUAAGAUCAUUCGAAAUCAAAAGCCGCAACUUGCAAGCAGAAGACGAUGAAGAUCAGUUGAUCCCCAACUCAAAGAAAGAUAAACAAAUAAAUUUGAUGUCACCUUAUGCAAUACGAACGCCACAAUCACUACCCUGUAUUAUUACAUGACAGGGCAGUGACCAGGCAAUAAUUAUUAUGCAGCAAAAUUAACAACGGCAGGUUUCUAUCCAAAGAGAAAGGUCCUGGACCACCUGAAUUAGUACCCCCAAAAUGACUUGGUAAUGCCAUUACUAAGUUCAUGGCCCUCUAGCUGGUUACUGCUCACUAGCGGCCCAAGGUACUGUCAAAGGUGCAUCAGAAGAUUUUGGUACUAGAGGUAUUGUUUUGAAGGUUUCUCACUAGCAUUUAAAAAUGCUGACUGCGCUUAUUAAGCUAUAAUAAAUAUACUUUUGGAAAUGUAAAGAAGUGGUUUUUUUUUUUUUUUUUUAAAUGUUCGAAUUUCUUGUCAUUUGUAAUGCCAUUAGACUUUACUCAACUUCAAGGUCUUGGAGCGGUGCUUAGAAUGUGCCUUCAGGCACCCACCGACAAUAACCUACCAAGGUUACAAAUAGCUCUCUAACAUCCUGGAAACUCCAUAAUUCAAGUUCCAAAUUCCAACAGAAGCUUUAUGCACAAAGGGCAACUUAGGCAAUGGCUAGCUGCAACAGGAGUUAUCAAACUUGUAGCACAAGGAUAAAAUGAAGAACUCCGAACCAAAGUUGAGCCUUGGAAAGAUCAUGGGCUAAGGAUUGAGAUUCAUUAGAUAGCCCAUUCUGAUGAAACAAAAAGGAAAAUAUCAGAUAGUACUAUUGACCUUUAACGAUUACCUUCACGAUCGAACUCCUGUGGACCAACCCAAGGGCGCCACUGUCCCUCUCCUUCAAAUGCGAAAAGCUUAGCAGAGUCCUUUUCAGACCAUACUCAUAUAUCAGAAGCACCCACCCGGCCCCUUGAGCAGCAAAAUCCUCUCAGCAUCAUCAGAUUUUCAUGUCUCAGCGAGGUCUACGCAAUCGCUUCAUGAAACUCAGAUUCAUCAGCCUUGCAGCUAGUUUUAUGGAUGCAUUUAAUGGCGAAGAACUAGUUCAUGAAACACCUCUGAAAUCUAGACUUCCAACUGUCUCCGGCGCCACCUAAGUUAAGACAUAAUUGGAGAGCAUCUUCCUAUUGUCCAUGUCCCCAUCAAGAACUAGUUCAUAGUCAUGUUCAUAACAAUAUUAUUCUUACCAUGCUUUUUUUGUCAGCUCAUUUUAACAUAUUCAUGUUCCUAGGAAUCUAUACUAGGUCAUUUUAUCAUAUUUCACCCUAGCAUAAUACUUCUUUCCAGACCCUCAGAGUUCAAUUAGAUGUCCAUGGCACAUUGCACGUCUGCUAGAUCUUUAAAAUGAGAUUUAAUCUGAACAUAUUGUGAAUUUUACAGCUUCAUCACAAUAAACCAGAUACACUGGGAUCCUCCAGAAAAAGGACUAGGUGCGUAGCAGGGAGGUGGCCAGCCAUCUCAAGGCGUCAUCAAUCAUGGUCAACAAUCUUAGUAGAAAGGGCCAGCUGCUUGCGGAGGUAAGGACAUGUUAUCUUGUAGAGAUCUUGUUUAAUACCAUUUGUGAUUAGGGGAGGAAAGUCAACAAUUAUUUCCAGAAAAAAAAAAUGCGGUUAGAUAAUAACUGCUUUUACCAUGUAUUUCCAAAAUGAAGUGGGUAGUGGUGGGAAGGAGCUUCAAUUCCUAAUAAAAUCCUAUGUAUUUCCUCGUGGUCCGCAAAUAUAUUUUUUAAUAACUUAUCAGUACCAUCCGAAUGCAGUUGAUGUGUGCAAAUGUUGUGUGAAGAGUGCAGUCAUGUUCUUGAGAUAGCAAAAGCAAUUAGGAGGUUGGGCUGACGAUCUUAUAAGGUGUCUCAAAAGCACAUGGUGAAAAGAUAUGGAUAUGUUUUGUUCAUGUGCGACGAUGGGUGUUGACCUUAUUACAACAGUGAGGUAUCGUGAAUGGAGUUUGAGUUUGCACGGGUCACAUCCUCCUGAAAACUCUGCAAUGUUAGAGCCCACUGGGAGUUGAAAGUCCUAUCGUGACGUGAGUGAUGAUGUUACCAAUGCUCAAAUGUUUCGGCUUUUCUUGCUUCAAUCUGUUUUGCUGCUACAUGCCAUUGCAUUGAGGGCGGAUUCUGCGAGAUGUGCAUUUGGUCCUCGUUUCCUUCUGCUACAUGUGCCAUACGCUAGCAACUAAAUACAUGCAUCAAGUACUCAACUCUCUUUUCAGUUCAUGGUCCCCUGGGCAUUCUUGUGGAUGAUGUGCGCGCAGUGGUGAACUGAAUGGUGUCCAAGGAUGAUUUGCAUGUGAUUAGUCACCUGAACCCAUUGACAUAUCGACAUUGUGUUCUGUUCUCACCCAGGAGAAGGAUUUGGGGGUGAAAUCUGUGGGUGGUAUGAAGGACGAUACUUCGCAUUUUGUAUGCAAACAGAAAAUCAUGGAUUCAUGAAGGAAAAGGCGAAUGGUGAAGGUAUGUCCAAAACUAUUUUCCAAUGAAUGGUGGUAGUAUUUAAGGAAAAAGCGCAAAUUUGAUUCAACAAUUCGCACUCUUUUUCCAAUGUCAAUAUCAAAUUGUCGUGCAAUCAAGUUUUUGAACUUGUAGAAUUUGUCUAAUCAAGGCAAUUGUACUGACUCGGACAACUUGAAGCCAACAUGCUUAUUGAUGCUAGAAAAAAAUAUGAUGUAAAUUGUUGACAAUCAAUUUCUACUGAUCAAGUUGCACAACAAUUAAGCAAAUGUUCAGCACCUUUUCAUAAGGUUCCAUCACUUAUUUCAAGAUCAAAAUUUUGGCUGAAAUUGAUUGAAAUUGAUUGACAUGCUAGUUUCCAUUUCCUGGAGCUAGUAACAAAAAGAUUUGACUGAAAAAAGAUUUUUUCAAUAUUGUAGAUUCAUAACGACCAAUCUUCCUUUGCAUCUAAAACUCGAUGCAUUUGAAGAACUUAGCCACAUUCCACUAUGCAUCAGAAGAAUCAACUUUGGCAUUGAUUUCUUUUAGAUGAGGAAGAUUUUAUUGCUCAGAUCGAAAAAGGAAGUUACGAAGUCCUGCCACAAACUCAGAUACAUGAUAUAGCCAGUCAAGACACUCACUCAGGAUUUGCCACAACUCUGCUCUAUUUGGAGUCACUUAUCCUGAAGUGAGGAAGUGCUGAAUUGCCACUCAAGCCAUGGGAAGUAUAAUGGGUGAUGUAUUCCGAAAGAGAGGUUUCUUUGUAUAUGGGUGGAUUGUUUUCAGAGAGAAGCUCCUUUAUUGGCCCAAAGGGUUUGGUUUUUUGCAUCCGGCUCCAGGUGAAAAAGCAUGCGACUGAAACCCUCGGUCCGUCCCGCCCAGCGAGUACUCGGUGCUGCACGCUUUUGAACUUGUCAUUGGAAACAAGCUGCAACCAUCAUGUUAGGCCAGAAAAGGAGUUAUGUCUUCUAAAGACGUAGUAAAGAUGAACGCCAAGAGCUAGGCAUAGAAUGCAGUGUGUUUUCAUGCCGCAACAUUGCUCUGUUAUUUCACUUAUGAUUCUUGUCAAGUACUCAGGGUAUCGUGGUAAGUUCAUUCUACAUUCGAUUGGUCGCUUAGAAAAUAUUAUCUGGACUCACUGUGUCGUUGAUGUAAUGAAGGGCGUUCAAAACCGACUCCAGAGAGACAUAUCUGGAGGUCAAUUUCAUAUUUGCUAUGUAGGCCAGAAAACAUAAGGUCAGAAAGAAGGUGGACCUUUCUUUACCUGCAUCAAGUCUCCGAUGUUGGCUAGAAGUGCUCCCUUCACGGGAACCACAUCAACCCAGUGGUUUUCUUGGAGGACUUGGAGGCCACCAUGGUGGUCUUGAAGGAGAAGAGUCAGAAACGAUGAGUCCGAGUGAUUAACUAUGCCGAGAGUCAAUUCCGGUUCAGGACAAGCUGGGUAGUAAUGGCCCAUCACUGUCUCCGAUUUCAUACACUCAGUGCCACUGAGAUAAUCAGAACCAAGGCCCAGUGCCUCUGAUAAUAGUUCGGCUAAAGAUGUCUUCAGCUCCGCGAUAUGUUUCUCGAACUUGGAAACUGCCUCCCUGCAAACGAGUAAAUGAAAUCACCGUGUGCGAGUUUCGAGUGUCAGGGUUUAUAGCAUUAUAUGCGUUCUUUUCUUUUGAAAAAAAAAAAUGCAUGUUGGACUUGGGGAACAACUUUUGCACUCCCUAAAACGAAGGUUAUUAACGAGUUUUCCACAACCAAGCUUUGAUCUGUAUGGAAAUGCAUCAUACACUGAAUGAUCUAAUUUACCUGGUUUCAGAUUUCUGAAAAUACAGAGUAUGUUAUUGGACCCCAACCUGUCCUGAGUAAAAGAAAUGCCCAAAAUUGUUCUCAUUUCUCUCGUAGCAACUUCAAUUAUUAACUUUCAUAAGUCAUACAUGUACCUGCAAAUAGGAGGAACAGCCUCUGGGUCGAGGACACCAUCCUGGAAAUCAAAUAUGACACUAUCUCUCCAAGUUGCUGCUUUUGACAGGAACAAGUCUCCAUUGCAAUAGUACCUCACUCUCUUCGUCCCAUCUCUGGAGUACAGCUCUUUCUUCGCUUCCACUUGUUGCUCAUGGAACUUCUUCACACCCUCCAACAUGCUGUCCAUCACAUCGAGCGGAACCCCGUGAUUGAUCAUCUGAAAGAACCCCCAUGUCUCCGAUGCUUCGCGAAUACCAUCAAUGACAUCUCGCCGCCGAAAAUCCUGACAGCCUCUUAGAUCGAUGAUCGGGACCUGGAGGCCAGUCCCAUUCGAGUUGGAGGACAAACCACGCAAGUUCUCGGGCGGGUGGAUGAAGAUCCUGGGGACCUUGGUCACGCCAGAGUCCACAAGGCCUUUGACUCCGGCCUUGGUCUCAUCGAAUUCCUGCAAUUCUUUCGCUCUGUCAUAAUCCCGGUCGCAACAAGUGAUGAAUUGUGCAUGACUGGACAAGGUUGGCAUCGUCUUGUAGUGACAAAGGUUGAAAUCUUGAUGAAUCUGAGCCCUGAUCAGGGGGAGGCUGUUACCAUGAGAGUGAUAUGAAGAUGAUUAGCUAGAGAGGCCAUUGCACAAAUAUGGUCAAGUCAACAGCCAAUGGCCAAGGGAACUAACUGUCAAAGAUUCCCCAGUGACGAGGCUGGCGGUAGUUGAAGAGUCCCUGUCGUGAUGUCAAAGAUGGUAACAAGUGGGCCCUUAAAAGAAAGACAGGUCCAGGAGACCCAAUUCUCUUCUCUUACGAGUUGCGCCCACCGAUUUGAAGCCAACAAUUCAGCAUUGUUUACAAUUGUUGCAGCUAGUUUAAGAGGAAAAAAAUUGGAAAAACUGAAAUGAGAAACGAACCAGGCGAGAGGGAAAGGGGUAUGGUUCAAGCUCGUCGGGACAUUUAAAUGCAUCGGAUUAAGGUUGUUUCGAAGCGCCCAGAUAGAAAUCGAAGCUUUAAUUAUCUAAAUGAAAAAAAAAAAUGCUUGGUUAAGCUGUAAUUUCCACUCAGUUGAAAUGUUAGGUCGCUGGAUUGAUUCUAGAGGUCGUUGUGGUAUGAAACUAUGUUGUAAAGAAACUUUAGGACGUCUUGGAAGUGUAAGAUUUUAUAUAAGUCAAUUCAAGAUUAUGGUUUGAUCGAGGUGACAUUUUGAGGUUUGUUAUACUAGAACCAUGUUCAAAUUAUUGUGCUUAACACCACUUUUCCCUAGUCCUUGGCCAUAUAACUCGCCCCUUUUAAUUAUGUUAAGUUAGUUUUUCAAUGGCUCUAGACCCACUUGAAAUAGGCAUUGAUUGAAUUCAAAUGAACCAUUUUAAAUUUGACGCACGAGUUACCGCAGUACAUUAGACAUCAAUAGCUAUUCUGCUUUAGUCGAGCUUUUGUUGGCACAUUGAAAUAGUUCUUUUAGUAGAUAAGCUUACUUUACUUUUGUCGAAUCUUAAUUAAGGUAGCUAUCUACUUAAUUUUGAUAUCCAUUUGUCACUUAAAGGAUACGAAUUCAAAUUUUUCCACUUGAGGUAGCUUUUGUUGUUGUGUUUCGCAUUUUCAAGUGAACAUGCUCAUCCCUUCUCUGAUUUGCAAACUAAUGUCUUAAAAAUGAUAGAAAUUAGAUAUUUUGCAAGUUAUGAAAGAGGUAUCAUCUGUUAUCCUUUUGGUUAUUGGAAAUGGCAUAGUAAGGUAUCUCUUGAAAUAAUUUGGGGGUAGAUUAUUUGUGAAAUGGUCUUGGAAUACUAUAUGAAAUGUAUUCUUCUUAAUGGAAGAAAAUGUGAAAGGUUAUAUACAUACAGCUAUAUAUUGAUUUGUGAACUUGAUUUAUAGAAAUGAAAUUUGAAAUAAUUUUAUGAUUGGUUGGAAGAGUGUGAUAAUGGUUUCAUGCCCUUGGCCCUAAAACAAUUGAAAGGAGUUUUGAGUGUGUAUAAUGUUCUCUGGGCAUCUUAUUUGGGCUAAACCAUCGACUGAUAUAGGUGAAGGCAUAUACCAAAGGGCAUCUUGGUAGACCUUGUCCCAGGGCAUUAAGUGUAGUUAUAGUUUGAUAUUGAGCACAUGAUUGACCAAUGAACUAGAUCAUUGACAUUUGUUAUGAUAUUAUUGAUUGAAUGAGUAUAUAUUAUAUGUAUAAAGUUGUAUUAAAUUGGUAUAACUAAUCUUUAAUGUAUUUUACAUGCUGAAUUUGGAUAAAUGUGUUUCUGGUAUUGUUUAAAUGUGCAUAACUGAUACUCAAUCUACUUAAAAGAGAUUUAUACUACUCAAUAAGCGGUAAUUUGCUCAGAUCAUUCAUCUUAGUUCUUUUUUAGGUUUUACAACUAGUAGCAAAUAGAAAGAGAGUGGAAUCAGUGAGGGAAUUUGGGAGUUCAAGUUUGGUAUGACUUAAGAUAGAAUGCUAUUUGUCAAGUUUAGUGUAGAAGUCACUAGAGAUGCACUUAUUCUUUUUUGUAGACUUUAGAACUAUGAUCAUGUAUCUAACUUGAUAUUGUAUCAUAUGUACAUAUAUAUAUAUAUAUAUAUAUAUAUAUAUAUAUAUAUAUUAUUUUCAUAAUAGAUUUGAUUUUGUAUAUGAGGCUCCAUGAUUUUCUCUAUACAUGAAGAUUUAGGGUGUGACCAAUAAGGGAUGGUGUGAGCGACCAAAUUGCCCAAACACUAAAAGGAGAGCUCUCAAGUCAAAUGAAACAUUAAUUUUGGGCAUUUUAUCACAAUAUUAGUUUCAUGGUAUAUGGAGAUCGACCUUCAAGGUUGGCAUGGCAAGUAAUGUGUCAUGUCACAAGCGGACUUUGUAUAAGUGAAUCAUAUCCGAGCCGAACUUGACAAGUUCUUUCGAGUAAAACUUAAAUUUGUUACAGCAAACUCCAAAGCCAACAUGAUUUGAUAAGUUUUAACAACAAGUAGAAGAACAAACAGGGCUUGGGGUGUCUCUAAAAGAAAAUGGCAUUCAAAAAUCAAUAUAGUAAAUCCCUGAAAGCUUAUUCAAUUUUGAUUCCAAUUUUCUUCCAGAUAUUUUCACAUUUUUACAUACUAAACUAAUUAUAAACUAGAACUAGCACUAAAAUCUAGUAAAACUACUCAAAAUCUAAUUUUUAAAUUUUUGCCUAAAUUUCUAAAUUCUUUAUUUUUUUAUUAUUUUUGCUCCAAAUCAUGGAGACUCGUAUCAAGUCUGGAGACUGGAAUUUAUGUUAAUUGUGUAAAGACGAGCAUUAAGUUAUAUUGAGUUUGUAUUUUUAAAAUGAACUUAAUUCUCUUUUUGCUCCGGGAACAAAAAAGUAAGCUUUUUCUAUUUCUCUUUUUGGUUCCAAAACUAUUUGCUAGCCACUAAUCCGUCCGAGAAAUAGAAAGCUUAGCUGAUAUUGCCAAAUGGAUCUAUUUUCUAUUUUCUCUGGUGAGAAACAAAAAGAACAGAAAAAUGGAGGAACAGAAAUGUUAAUAAACAAGACCUCAUAUUCUGCAGAAACAAGGAGAGCUAGUAGGCGCUGGGUUGCCAUCCAAUAUAUGGUCAGAUCGAAAGGGACUCGUAUCGUCUCAUGGUGAUCAAGUGCCUGGAUUAGAGUUUCUAGUUUAAUGAAACAUCCAAUCCAAUACUGAAGAACAUGGCCCCGGCCCACAAAAUAAACUAAGGGCAAUGCUGUUUUCGAGGAUUGACUAUAUAUCAGCAAUGAAAAACAAAUCGCUUUUAUUAACUAGCUACUAUCGUUCGAUCUUUCACAUUUAAAAUACCAGGGCGACAAGGCUAGUGUCAGGCGUUGAAACUCAGCGAUUUUCACCUACACAAUUGCAGAGCGUCGCGAGAAAUAUCGAACAUCUAAAAUCGAAAUGUACCUACUCCCGAAGAGAAUUUUUCGCAAGGCACUUGUACAAGCACGAACUAGAGCAAUACGUCCGCAACAGGCUUGAACAUACGCAAGAAAGCACAGCCCUACGGCAAAGGACCAAAACAAAAAAAAAAAUGUCGAAGCCGGUAGGUCACUACAUCGGCCACAUUUGGCUUCUUCAGCCCAGCUUUCACCAUCAACCGUCGAAACAGCUCUUGGAACACGUAUCAAAUAAGGCCUGUCAUUCUGAGACAGCCGCUGCCCGUUACGUAGCUCGUGAAUCACUGACUCCACGGAUGGCCUAUCAUAGAGAUACUCGUUGGUGCAAGAGGCAAUUCUUGCGAGUUUAGCCACCUCGUACUCGAAGAACCUUUUUUUCGUGGAUAUAUGCAUCGAUGAAAUCCUGAAAUCUGCAUGAUGUAGUAGCCAGACGCCUGGAGUGAUCUACAUUCUGCGUCCCCCACAGCAUUGGGAAAACAAUCACUCCAACCGCAUAGACUUCACUCUUAUCCAUGAACAGGCCCCGCAGACGUUUACUCUGGCUUUAGGUUGCCCACGGCAGCGGUAGCUUUGAGCAAUGAGAACACAACGUCUGCGUGUGAGGGGCCUGUGGAGACCAGAGUCCUAG